rnacentral:misc_RNA from 1 species
CCGAGUUUACAACUCCCAAACCCCUGUGAACAUACCUUAUGUUGCCUCGGCGGAUCAGCCCGCGCCCCGUAAAACGGGACGGCCCGCCAGAGGAACCCCUAAACUCUGUUUCUAUAGUGGAACUUCUGAGUAUAAAACCAUAAUAAAUCA